UUCGCGGGGAUCCGCUGGAUGCAGGCAG
rnacentral:sRNA from 1 species